GCUUCGGUUGAACUGAACUGCAAAUCACAUUGGAAAAGUCAGUUGGGAACGAAGGCGGUGGUAGUCGGAGCGGCUGAUUGACGCAUAUAAAGCAUCGUCGUUCAUCAUCGGAACACGAACUGUGGAUUCUGAAAAUGCUGCCGGAGUCUGAACGAACAGCUUUGGGAGGAGGCGAGCACCGCCUAGACUAGACCAGCCGGUCAGUAUCCAUAUCCAGACAGUGAUCGGCAUUGGCGGCGAGUGAUUAGCCAUUUUGAAUUCGAUUCGAAUCAGCAGCAGCAGCUUAGGAGCAGAGCGGAGCGGAGGGAGGUUGCCAUUCUCUUCAGUGAAUGUUGGUGUCGCAGAGAGUAGUUUGCGGCUUUGCUCGGGGUUACCGUUCUUCUUUGCCCUACCCUUUCUCCUUCACUCUCACCCAUUCAGUUUUCUCCUUUACGAUGCCUCGGCCUCGCAACCAGCGAUGUGGAGUACAGAAAGGGCAGAGAUGGGUAGAGAAAUCAAAAUCUACGAAGCCAUUUACUUCCACAUCGAAUGCUACUACUGAAGCUGUCACCCAAAAGCUUGAUGCACUGAGUGUUUCAGAAAGCAACGGGCGAUCUCUUCUUACCGGUGGCGUACCUGUUCAAGAACAGAAAGCUAUAUGGAAGCCCAAGGCAUAUGGAACAAUAUCUGGACCGACAGCAGUUGCUACUAAUAAAGCUCCAGUUGAUCAAAAAAUGGAUCAGGGCACUGCAACUCAAACAGAAUCUUCUACUAAAUCUAAUGCUGUUUUAAGUGCGUUGUUUGGUGGUAAAUUAGUGGAGAGCUUUACUGUUGACAACUCAACAUAUUCACGUGCACAAGUCCGAGCAACAUUUUAUCCUAAAUUUGAAAAUGAGAAGUCCGAUCAUGAGAUUCGGACAAGGAUGGUACAGAUGGUGUCCCAAGGCUUAGCUACAAUGGAGGUUUCUCUCAAGCACUCUGGAUCACUUUUCAUGUAUGCUGGGCAUGAGGGGGGAGCAUAUGCUAAAAAUAGCUACGGGAAUAUUUACACUGCUGUUGGUGUCUUUGUACUUGGACGUGUGUUUCGUGAAGCAUGGGGUUCACAAGCCACAAAAAAGCAAGCUGAGUUCAAUGAAUUUCUUGAGCGUAACCGUAUGUGCAUAUCCAUGGAGUUGGUUACCGCUGUACUAGGAGACCACGGGCAGCGCCCUCAUGAUGAUUAUGUGGUUGUGACUGCAGUCACCGAGUUGGGUUGUGGAAAACCAAAAUUCUAUUCCACUCCUGAUAUUAUUGCCUUUUGUAGAAAAUGGCGGCUACCAACUAAUCAUGUGUGGUUGUUCUCUACAAGAAAGUCUGUAGCAUCAUUUUUUGCUGCUUAUGAUGCACUCUGUGAAGAAGGAACAGCUACACCAGUAUGUCAGGCUCUUGAUGAAGUUGCUGAUAUUUCUGUACCCGGAUCCAUAGACCAUGUGAAAAAGCAGGGUGAAAUUUUGGAAGGGCUAGUGGCUCGAAUAGUAAGUUGCAAAAGUUCUCAACACAUGGAGAAGGUUCUGCAGGAGUAUCCUCCAUUACCAAAAGAAGAAGUUGACCAAUCUCUGGGCUCCAACCUAAGGGAAAUAUGUGCGGCCAAUAGAACUGAUGAAAAGCAGCAAAUUAAGGCACUUCUAGAGAGUGUUGGUGCUGCUUUCUGCCCAAACUAUUUGGAUUGGUUCGGAAAUGAGAAUUACAGUUCUCAUUCUAGAAAUGCAGAUCGAUCUGUUCUGUCCAAAUUUCUGCAAGCACACCCUGCUGAUUAUUCAACUACUAAAUUACAGGAAAUGGUUCGGCUGAUGAGAGAAAAACGCUUUCCUGCUGCUUUUAAAUGUUACCAUAAUUUUCAAAAGUUAAACUCUGUGGCAAGCGAUGAUCUUCAUUUUAAGAUGGUUAUUCAUGUGCACAGUGACUCAGCUUUUAGACGAUACCAAAAAGAGAUGAGGCACAAUCCUGGAUUGUGGCCUCUAUUUCGAGGAUUUUUUGUAGACUUAAACUUGUUUAAGGAUAGAACUGGGAAGGUUAAGGAAUCUGACCAGGAAACAAAUGGUGUAGCAGAAUCUGGGAAUACCUCAAAUGUUGCACCUGCAAGCGAUGAUUUAGCUGAUGAAGAUGCAAACUUGAUGAUCAAGCUGAAAUUUCUUACAUAUAAGAUAAGGACAUUUUUGAUUCGAAAUGGCUUGCCAAUUCUUUUUAAACAAGGUGAAGCUGCAUACAAAGCCUACUACCUAAGGCAAAUGCAAAAAUGGAAUACUUCAACUGCGAAGCAAAGAGAGCUUAGCAAGAUGUUGGAUGAAUGGGCUGUAUUUAUACGUAGAAAAUAUGGACGCAAACAGCUGUCUUCUUCCACAUAUCUUAGUGAAGCAGAACCAUUCCUCGAGCAGUAUGCGAAGCGCAGUCCUCAAAAUCAGGCUCUGAUAGGAGCUGCGGGCAAUUUGGUGAGAGUUGAAGACUUUAUGGCAAUUAUUGAUGGAGGAAGAGAUGAAGAGGGUGACUUGGAGCCAGAGAGAGAUACAGUGCCAGUAAGUCCAACUCCACAUGUGAAGGAAGCUGUUAGGAAGGAUGAAGGACUCAUCGUCUUCUUCCCUGGAAUACCUGGCUGUGCUAAGUCAGCACUUUGUAAGGAAAUACAGAGUGCCAGCAGAGAACUUGCUGACGAUCGUCCAGUCCAUAGUUUGAUGGGGGAUCUUAUCAAAGGAAAAUAUUGGGGGAGGAUAGCGGAAGAGCGGCGCAAGAAACCUUAUUCUAUCCUGCUUGCUGAUAAAAAUGCUCCUAAUGAGGAAGUUUGGAGGCUGAUUGAAGACAUGUGUCGCAGCACAAAGGCAUCUGCAAUCCCAGUUGUACCAGAUUCAGAAGGAACUGAAUCGAAUCCUUUCUCUCUUGAUGCUCUUGCUGUUUUCAUUUUCCGAGUCCUUAACCGAGUGAAUCAUCCGGGAAACCUUGACAAGACAUCUCCAAAUGCUGGUUAUGUGUUGUUAAUGUUCUACCAUUUAUAUGAUGGCAAGAGCCGCAAGGAGUUCGAAUCUGAGCUAAUAGAACGAUUUGGUUCACUGGUGAAAAUGCCUUUAUUGGAAUCUAACAGAUCUCCUCUGCCUGAAUCUGUGAAAACUGUUCUGGAGGAAGGAAUUAAUCUCUACAAGCUUCAUACUAGACAACAUGGAAGAUUGGAGUCCACAAAAGGCACAUAUGCAAAGCAGUGGAGUGAAUGGGAGAAAAAAUUGCGCCAGACCUUACUCGGGAGUGAAGAAUAUAUGAAAUCCAUUCAGGUCCCGUUCGAUGUUGCUGUUCAAAGGGUUCUCGAACAACUGAAAACAAUUUCUAAGGGAGAAUAUGUAGCUCCUAGUACAGAGAAAAGGAGGCUCGGCAGCAUUACCUAUGCUGCUGUUAGUUUGCCAGUGUCAGAAAUUCUAACUCUCCUCCAUAAUUUGGGUGCAAAGGAUUCAGGAGUUGCAGCAUUCCUCGACAACAAGAACUUAAGGAACAGCCUUACGAAAGCCCACGUGACCCUCGCCCACAAGAGGAGCCACGGCGUAACUGCCGUAGCCAGCUAUGGUUCUCAUGUCCACCAAAAUGUUCCCAUUCACAUGACUGCACUACUGUUCUCGGACAAACUGGCCGCCCUGGAAGCCGAUCCCGGGGUGGUCAGCGGGGAAAAGAUAAAUUCAAAAAACGAGUGGCCGCACGCCACGCUGUGGACUGCUGAAGGAGUCGCGCCCAAAGAAGCCAACACCUUACCUCAUUUAUACGGCGAAGGGAAAGCCAGCCGCGUAGAGAUCAACCCUCCGGUGACAAUAUCGGGAGUUCUCGAGUUCUACUAAAAAUAUAGAUAUGGUUAUUAUGUUCGAAUAAUGAGCAGGUGCAUGAGUUUUUUUUUGUAUAAUUUGGGUGGUGAGUUUCUCUAAUUGAUAAUCAGCCACGAUUUUGUGUUCGUGUAGACGACAGGCAGACGUACACAAAGAUGGUAACAAUAAAAGGGGUUUAUGCUGCUGAUGCUACUGCUCGUAAUUGCAAAGUUCAUGGCGAUGCUAGGAAUGUGUAACAUUACUGCUUACAGAAAAGUCACACUAGGCGAACUAUGUGUGGCAGGUGACCUGAGACGUCCAACCCCUACACCGGCCAUCUCUUACGGGAUUUUUUACAAUCUUUUUGGUUGUAGCGUUUGAGGGUUUUUACUGUAUCAUUAUUUUUCAAAAUAAUUUGUGUUUAUAUCAUGUUAAAUAAUUAUUUUAAUUUUAAAUU